rnacentral:lncRNA from 1 species
GAUAUGUGGUGUACGCGAUAUAAAUAUAUAAAUUCUAAGAUAAAAAAAAAUUAAAAAGCCAUGCACUACAAAGGAUUAACGCAUUGGUGGAAACUACAGCUUCGCGUAGCUGACUCAGCGCAAGUGUCUCGAAGGCGUCUGCUGGAUGACCAAAUGCUAAAUUUGGUUACUUCAGGGCUGGGAUUGUGUUACCACGCGUGGGAUAUUCUAAUAUUCCGGGUUCCGCUAGUGCAUCGUGAAUGGUUUUAACGGUUGUCUUAUAUCAGGUGUCGACCAUCAAACAUCAUUUGACCACAUCCUACGGACGUACAAUUAUUAUGAACUAGGCAGUGGGCCAAUUUUUUUCGUUUUACCACGCUAAUGGCGAAUAAUUUUCAAGUCCUUUAUAAUUCCUGUGAAAUCUACACCUGUACGCGUUUGCAUCUCUGUGCGCUGCACCCGAAAGCGGAAUGAAAUGAACCGAAUUUUAUCUUCGGUCGGUGACUCAUUCACAGAAAAGAACGUCCCAACGGAUGUAUCGUGUAGUGUGAAAAAUCAAUUUUAUCUCUAG